rnacentral:misc_RNA from 1 species
GAGGCAGCCUCUCUCUCCAUUUUGCGAAAUGCACAAAUAAUAUGUAGCCAUAAACUGCUGUGAGCAAUAGCUUGUGGAUAAUCCACAGGCCCCACUUCAUUCUUUGUAUACUAUCAUCACCAUCAAUGAACAGUGGGACCCCAAAUCCAAAAACAUAAAUUCCCUUAAAAAGUAUAUCCACACCCACAAUGAUUCCUGAGACAGCGAAAAUACGGGUUAAAGUUUCCAAUCCACUUGCAUAACUAUCCUGGAGCAAGAAAGCCAUUAAGCUAAUUUCCAAGCACAGCAUUGCGGAACCUGUGAACAAUGACAGGAAAUUCCAAGCAAUCUCCUUCCCAGGAGAACAUUGCCAAGCCUGUUCAUCAAGGAGAAGCAUAAAAAUUAAAUACAAGACAAAAAAAUUUACAAAAGUCAGAUUUCCACAUCUCUAAACAUCAUGAGAGAUUCAGGUAUGAGAGAGAGAGAAAAUUUCUAUCGUUUUUCUAAAUCCCAUGCCUUUGAUAUACCAUUACUCCCUCAAAGGAUAGUUCAGUGGCUCCCUUGAUGAAGUUAUUUGAACAAUAUUACCCCCUGCAAAAACAUCACUUCCCAAUUCCAUGAAAUGGAGGAACCUUCACGUUGGCUUUUCAAAGCAUAAUAAAGGAAAGAACUUUACAGCUUCAAUGUUACUUCAGUCUCUACACACAAGGAACAAAACUCACAGCAAUGCUAAACAAUAAUGUCAGUCUCAGCCAAGUAAAGCAAUUCAUCACUGGUUUUAGAAUCCCAAUAACAAAAAUGACAAAAACUAAAAACAUAAAACAUCCAAAUCCUCCAAAUUUUCUUCUUCUCGCCACACUUUCUCCCUAAAUCCACUUACAAUUCCACUUUGCUCAAACUCCACACAUUUCAAGCAAUCAGAAACAACAAUAUCUUCAAUUUUCUGCAAUUUAACCGAAAAUCAUAAGAAAAAUUAGAAGAGAAAGGGACCUGAAGACAGCACCAAGCGAGAUUGAGAGAGCUAGCCAACCAGAGAAGGGUAUAAUAGGAAAUCAUUAUGUAGGACCUCCCAUUCCAUAGCUUCCUCAAAUUCUUCUUCGCGUUGAUCCCCAAGUACACCACGAAUAGGAUAGCCGGCAACACUAAAACAACACUGUACCAUGCCCCUUGACAUUUCCGGCCGCCGAUGGCAGGAAUGGUAUGGUCAGGCUGGAAGUCGAUUGUGGCGGGCGAAUCGGUGCUUUUUGGCGCUAGAAAAGGAGAAGUUGGGUUGGCGAUUGUUUGGAGAUUCAUUUGAUAAUGGUUUCUUCGAAAGAAGAACACUCAGAGCUGCAAACACCCUAGAUUGGAUGGCUUCGAUCGCAUUUUAGAGGAGAUCAUGGAAAUACUUCGUUCACAGAACCCAUACAGAGAUCGAAAGACCAGCAGAAAUCGGGUACGGAGUUUUCUAAAGGUG